rnacentral:rRNA from 1 species
CAGUCGCCACGGUAAUACGAAGGGGGCUAGCGUUGUUCGGAAUCACUGGGCGUAAAGGGUGCGUAGGCGGGAUCUUAAGUCAGGGGUGAAAUCCCGAGGCUCAACCUCGGAACUGCCUUUGAUACUGGGGUCCUUGAGUCCGGAAGAGGUGAGUGGAACUGCGAGUGUAGAGGUGAAAUUCGUAGAUAUUCGCAAGAACACCGGUGGCGAAGGCGGCUCACUGGUCCGGAACUGACGCUGAGGCACGACAGCGUGGGGAGCAAACAGGAUUAGAUACCCCCGUAGUCCCUGUCUCUUAUAA